GACAGAGGGCGCGAGCGUUGUUCGGAAUCACUGGGCGUAAAGCGCGCGCAGGCGGACCAGGCAAGUCUGGAGUGAAAUCUCGCCGCUCAACGGCGAGGCUGCUCUGGAAACUGCGGGUCUGGAGACCGGUAGAGGCUGGUAGAAUUGCAGGUGUAGCGGUGGAAUGCGUAGAGAUCUGCAAGAAUACCAGUGGCGAAGGCGGCCAGCUGGGCCGGUUCUGACGCUGAGGCGCGAAAGCGUGGGGAGCAAACAGG
rnacentral:rRNA from 1 species